rnacentral:rRNA from 1 species
AACGAACGCUGGCGGCAGGCCUAACACAUGCAAGUCGAACGAAGUCUUCGGACUUAGUGGCGCACGGGUGAGUAACACGUGGGAAUAUACCUUUCGGUGGGGAAUAACAGCGGGAAACUGCUGCUAAUACCGCAUACGCCCUUUUGGGGAAAGAUUUAUCGCCGAGAGAUUAGCCCGCGUCCGAUUAGCUAGUUGGUAAGGUAACGGCUUACCAAGGCUACGAUCGGUAGCUGGUCUGAGAGGAUGAUCAGCCACACUGGGACUGAGACACGGCCCAGACUCCUACGGGAGGCAGCAGUGGGGAAUAUUGGACAAUGGGCGCAAGCCUGAUCCAGCCAUGCCGCGUGAGUGAUGAAGGCCUUAGGGUUGUAAAGCUCUUUCGACGGGGACGAUGAUGACGGUACCCUUAGAAGAAGCCCCGGCUAACUUCGUGCCAGCCGCCGCCGUAA